UAAAUUUGAUAGCAAAAAAAACGUUUUACUAUUAAUAGUAUUCCAGCCUAAUUCUAUAUAUAUAUAACUAUGCAUUUAUAUAUUUAUAUAUACUUUUUUAUACUUUUUCGAUAUAGUUACUUUAUGAUCAAACCAUUUCAAAAUUGUCAAUUUUCAAUGGCUACUAUUGCGAGUUUGGAGUUUAACGGUGUAGAAGAAUUUAAAUUUCUUCAAAUUUUGAUAGAAAAUACUUUAAACUAUCUAGAUCAAGAUCAACAUUCUUGAUCUUGAAUUUAAAAGCCCUAUGCUCAAAUUUGAAAGAUUAUUCGAUUUCCACCGUCCAUUUUGAUAUAAUUUAUUUACUAAGUAAACGAUGUCGAAAAAAACUAAAAUUUUAUUCCUAAGAACUUCAUUUACCUUAGAUCAUAUUUAACGGUGUGGAUCGAUAAUUUGAACACCCUAAAAUCGAAACAAGACUAUAGUACCGAAGCUCCGAUACUAUAGAUAGUUUAGUAGCCUAAUCCUA
rnacentral:lncRNA from 1 species